AAAAAGGCAGUGAAGACCCACAGUAAGCCGCUGUGAAUCCGUGACAGAGAGCCCUUUCGCGGUUGAGAGAGGGGCGACGGAGACAGCAGAUGAAAUUCAGGUUGGAGCCGCAUUUCUGAAAGGCAAAUGCUCCGAAUCCGUUUUCGGGCGGAUUUGAAAAGACAAUCCGAGGAGAGAGCAUAGCCGAGUAGGUGAUGACGUUGGCGCGCGUUAGGCGCAUGGAGAGUCUGUAUUUACGCAGAAAUCAGGGUGGUACCGCGGAGUUAUGUCUUCGUCCCUUCG
rnacentral:ncRNA from 1 species